rnacentral:lncRNA from 1 species
UUGCUUUGAGACUGAGAUGCACGUAUGUAAAGGAGCAUGCGCUCGUGGCGACUUACGUACUCGUAUGUAGACCACCAGGCUCGGAAGGAGACUGGUGUGCUCGUAUGUAGAGCAGCAGGCUGGCAUGGAGGCUGGGGUGCUCGUAUGUAAAGGAGCAUGCGCGUACGGCGACUUACGUGCUCGUAUGUAAAGCAGUAGACUCACAUUGAGACUGAGAUGCUCGUAUGAAAAGGAGCAUGCGCGCAUGGCGUCUUACAUGCUCGUAUGUAGAGCAGCAGGCUCGCACGGUGACAGAGAUGCCCGUAUGUAAAGAAGCAUGCGCUUAUGGCGACUUACGUGAACGUAAGUAAGGGAGCAUGUGAGUAUGGCGACUUACGUGCUCGUAUGUAGAGCAGCAGGCUCGUAAGGAGACUGGUAUGCUCGUAUGUGGAGCAAUAGACUCGCAUGGAGACUAAGAUGCUCGUAUGUAAAGGAGCAGGUGUGCUCGCUCAUAUGUAAAAGAGCAUGUGUCGGCCGGCGCAUGUGUGUUCGCUCGUAAGUAGAGGCUUGCUCGUAAGUAGAGGAGCAUGCGCCAACCGGCGCAUCUGUGAUCGCUCGUAAUUGGAGGCUCGCUCGUAUGUAGAGGAGCAUGCGCCAGCUCGCACGUGUGUGCUCGCUCGUAAUCAGAGGAGCAUGCGCUAGCCGGCGCAUGUGUCCUCGCUCGUAACUAAAGGAGCAUGCUCGAUCGUAAGUAGAGGAGCAUGCGCCAGCGCAUGUGUGCUCGCCCGUAUGUGGAGGCUCGCUCGUAAGAGCAUGCGCCAGCCGACGCAUGUGUGCUCGCUCGUAAGGAGAGGAGCAUGCGCCAGCCGGCGCAUGUGUGCUCGCUCGUAAGCAGAGGAGCAUGCGCCAGCCGGCGCAUGUGUGCUCGUUCGUAAGCAGAGGGUCACUCGUAAGUAUGUAGAGGAGCAUGCGCCAGCCGGCGCAUGUGUGC